rnacentral:rRNA from 1 species
UACAGAGGCCUCGAGCGUUAGGCGGAAUCACUGGGCUUAAAGCGUGUGUAGGCGGAUCGUUAAGUACCUUGUGAAAUCCCACGGCUCAACCGUGGAACUGCUUGGUAUACUGGCGAUCUUGUGCCACCUAGGGGCGAGCGGAACAGAUGGUGGAGCGGUGAAAUGCGUAGAUAUCAUCUGGAACGCCAAUGGUGAAAACAGCUCGCUGGGGGUGUGCAGACGCUGAGGCACGAAAGCCAGGGGAGCGAACGGG